rnacentral:rRNA from 1 species
UCCGGAUAACGCACAUAUGCUGGAAUGCUUUCUGCGUAAAAUGGAUUCGUCUGCCCAAGGAUGGGUCUGCGGCCUAUCAGGUAGUAGUGGGUGUAAUGUACCUACUAGCCUACGACGGGUACGGGUUGUGAGAGCAAGAGCCCGGAGAUGGAUUCUGAGACAUGAAUCCAGGCCCUACGGGGCGCAGCAGGCGCGAAAACUUUACAAUGCGGGAAACCGUGAUAAGGGGACACCGAGUGCCAGCAUCAUAUGCUGGCUGUCCAGGUGUGUAAAAUACACCUGUUAGCAAGGGCCGGGCAAGACCGGUGCCAGCCGCCGCGGUAACACCGGCGGCCCGAGUGGUGAUCGUGAUUAUUGGGUCUAAAGGGUCCGUAGCCGGUUUGGUCAGUCCUCCGGGAAAUCUGACAGCUUAACUGUUAGGCUUUCGGAGGAUACUGCCAGACUUGGAACCGGGAGAGGUAAGAGGUACUACAGGGGUAGGAGUGAAAUCUUGUAAUCCCUGUGAGACCACCUGUGGCGAAGGCGUCUUACCAGAACGGGUUCGACGGUGAGGGACGAAAGCUGGGGGCACGAACCGGAUUAGAUACCCGGGUAGUCCCAGCCGUAAACGAUGCUCGCUAGGUGUCAGGCAUGGCGCGACCGUGUCUGGUGCCGCAGGGAAGCCGUGAAGCGAGCCACC